rnacentral:rRNA from 1 species
CCUACGGGAGGCAGCAGUGGGGAAUAUUGGGCAAUGGGCGCAAGCCUGACCCAGCAACGCCGCGUGAAGGAAGAAGGCUUUCGGGUUGUAAACUUCUUUUGUCAGGGAAGUGUAGCAGACGGUACCUGACGAAUAAGCUACGGCUAACUACGUGCCAGCAGCCGCGGUAAUACGUGGGUGGCAAGCGUUGUCCGGAUUCACUGGGUGUAAAGGGCGUGUAGCCGGGUUGACAAGUCAGAUGUGAAAUCUUGCGGCUUAACCGCAGAACUGCAUUUGAAACUGGUGAUUGUGAGUACUGGAGAGGCAGACGGAAUUCGUGGUGUAGCGGUGAAAUGCGUAGAUAUUAGGAAGAACCCCAGUGGCGAAGGCGGUCUGCUGGACAGCAACUGACGGUGAGGCGCGAAAGCGUGGGGAGCAAACAGGAUUAGAUACCCCAGUAGUC